CGAAAUCGAUGCCAUGGCGAUCCGGCUAUGUUGUCUUCUCUGCUUCGCUUGACUUCGGCCGCUCCUCAUUUCCCCUGUGUUGAUCUGCGAGCUAUGUGUCCCCCUCCUCAUCCUCCAUCCAUGGUUGGUUUUGAUAUGUUAAUGCUAUAAGAGAGAAUACAUUAAGGAACUUAGCUUCAUCAUGUUCGAGUGUGGAUCAUCUUCAGGUUUUUGUCAUAGAUCAUGGACGAAUCGCCCUCUUGGUUGGUGCUUAUUCCUGUCCUCUACAGUGCAUUUUUGUAGUGGAUAUUAUAGUGAAAAUAAUAGUGGAGUUAUUA